UGCGUAGGCGGCUUUUUAAGUUUGGUGUGAAAUCUCCCGGCUCAACCGGGAGGGUGCGCCGAAUACUGAGAGGCUAGAGUGUGGGAGAGGAAAGUGGAAUUCCUGGUGUAGCGGUGAAAUGCGUAGAUAUCAGGAGGAACACCGGUGGUGUAAACGGCUUUCUGGACCAUAACUGACGCUGAUGCACGAAAGCGUGGGUAGCAAACAGGAUUAGAUACCCUGGUAGUCCACGCCCUAAACGAUGCAUAUUUGGUGUGGGCCAUUCAUUUGGUCCGUGCCGGAGCUAACGCGUUAAAUAUGCCGCCUGGGGAGUACAGUCGCAAGGCUGAA
rnacentral:rRNA from 1 species